rnacentral:rRNA from 1 species
GUACCGUCAAGCCUUACGGGUAUUAACCGUAAGGUUUUCUUCCCAAUCUGACAGAACUUUACAAUCCAUAGGACCUUCUUCGUUCACGCGGCGUCGCUCCGUCAGGCUUUCGCCCAUUGCGGAAGCUUCUCGA